rnacentral:lncRNA from 1 species
AUAAUUGAGUCAAUAUUAAUUGUGAUCUUGAUUCCUCAACUUGGCUCAUAACAUGGCUUCUCUACUAAAAUUAUUUUUCCAAAAUCAUGCAUAUUAAAAUUAAGUGUCAAAUGAUUUUAAACUAUACAUAUUUACAUUUGUUAAAAUGUUUUCCAAACAUGCCUCAAAAAUCUAAGCCAAGACUGCAUGACAAUCGAUUGUGAAUUAAUGAUAAUCGAUUGUGUUCUUAUGAUAAUCGAGUAUCUCUAAGCCAAGACUGCAUGACAAUCGAUUGUGAAUUAAUG